rnacentral:rRNA from 1 species
AUGGGGCGGAGCUCGGGGGGAGAGGGAGGAGGAGGGGAGGGGCAAGGGGAGGCGGAUGGCGGCGGAAUCGCAGACUGCUCGCCGGGGACCAUCGUCUGGGUGCGGCGGCGGAACGGGUCCUGGUGGCCCGGGAGGAUAGUCGGGCAGGACGAGCUCGCGGCGUCGCAGGUGGUGACGCCCAGGACGGGAACUCCGGUCAAGCUGCUCGGCCGCGAGGAUGCUAGCAUUGACUGGUAUAACCUGGAGAAAUCGAAACGUGUCAAGGAAUUUAGGUGUGGAGAGUUUGAUGCUUGUAUUGAGAAGGCAAUGGCUUGUCAAGGAACUCCUGUAAAGAGAAGAGAAAAAUAUGCUCGUAGAGAAGAUGCUAUUAUUCAUGCUCUUGAAUUGGAAAGAAAGCAGCUUGCAUUGAAGUACCAGAACCAAGGUUUCAGGGCAGAUGACAGCUGCAGUAUCCUCUUUGCUGACACAGGGAGGGAGUUUGACGACUUUCCUUCAGAAUAUUACUCAAGAAACAACGUCCAGGAACCUCAGUUGCAUUUGCAAAGCUCAGCAUCUCAGCAACGCGUAGAUCUCAGCACUACUCGUUAUAAAAGCAAAAAGAGUAAAAAACAGAAAGGGGAUACCUCUGUUCGCCUUGGACAUACGCAAGAAGGAUCAAAUGUAGAGAGCGGUGAGAAAAAUACAGCCCUGAAAAAGAGAAGAUUAGAGGAAGCUAUUUUUGAGGCAUCUGUUGUCAAAAAACAUGAUAGAUGCAGGCCACUUGCUCAAGUUGUACAGAGUAGCGUCAAAUUUCCUCGCUCUUUUCAGUGCAAUGAUGAUUCUGGAACUGUUGUAGUUGAAGGAGGGAAGGAUCCUUUGCCUGCUAUCUGUCAGGCGAAAAGAAGUGGUGCCACAUACCUGUCUGCUGAUUCUGGUGAUGCACAUAGCCGUGACUUCAUACCUGUUAAGCAAACAAUAUUAACAGAAGCUCAUCAUGAGACAGAAAGUUACCUAAAGCAGGAGGAUACUCUUCUCGAAGAGCAAACAUUUCCGGGCUUUGUUGAGAAGCAAGAAUCUGAUUCUUCAAUGAGUUUAUGUUCAGAUACUGAGACAGAAGAUGACGCUGAACUUCUGCAAAGGUAUGCUAAGGUACAAUCCCCUGAAUCAGAUGCAUGUGAUCCUAAUUCCCUCAAGGCUUCUAAUAAGUCAAGGCAUGCAAAUGAUAUUGAUGACGAUGAUGAGAUGAACUUUUCUACUCAUAUUCCUCAGCAAAAUGUCUUACUAGGUGAGGAUGGUUCUCCUGAGUUAGGUGUUUCCCAGUGGCAUAUGAAAGGUAAACGCAACCGGCGCACUGCAGUAAAGAGAUCAAUGGGGAAGGCGGAUGAAAAUCUGUCAUUAGAUAGCUCAAGUAGUUUCAUGAAGGGGCUGCUCAAAAUGGCCAAUAAAGGUGACUCUAAAGUUGAGAUUAUUGAUGCGUCUAGCCAUCAGCCGUUUGGUCAAAGUUUUCCUGAGAACCAAGAAGGGUUGGAUUGUGAUCAUGAUGAAGCAGAUUUGGUUGACAAGGCCGCGAGUCAUUCAGGAGUUAACAGAUACCAUGGUAAAGAUUAUCCCUUAUCUUCAGAACCUGUCAGAGAUAUUGGACGAAGUUACACUUCUUUCAACAACUCUGAAAUUUCUUGCAAGACCUCUUUGCUAAAUAAAAAUGGCAAUCAGAUAACCUCUAUUGAUCAGAAGGCAUGUGGGGACGGAUCUUCAUUGUAUCAACAAAAUCAUGGCUCACAUCUUGGUUACACUGGGCAGGUGUUGUUUAAUGUUGACCUGAAGGUACAGGCUAACUAUCAAGGUGAGCAUGUCCCAUUGGUUUCUUUGAUGAGCAGACUGGAUGGCAAAGCUAUUGUUGGACACCCUAUCCAAGUUGGAAUUCUUGAAGAAGGUUCAAUGGACAGGCUUAUUUUGGGCAGUGAUCUUGUUCUGGAAAAUAGCACAGCAGCACCACCUGCUUGGCCGACAGGCAGAAGGACUGUUAUGCCAAGAGUCCCACGUUUGAAUCCAUCACGAGCAACCUUAGAUGGCAAUGCCACCGAUGAGCAGGGGGUCAAGCAUGCAAAGAAAAGCACCACCAGUGUCCGGAGGCCAUUUUCGCAGAAAUCUCAAAAGAAGCCCUCUGGCUUCAAGAAAGCAAGCUCACCAAGCCAGAAAACCAGACCCCUUUCAUCCAUUUCCAUUGGGAAAAAGUCUCACAGAGAAGGUGGCCAGGCAAAGGCACAUAGGCGCAGCGAUGUUCUGGGUGGUCUAUUGAAAUCAGAAGGAGCAAUUCCGCUGGUCACAUGUGUCCCCGCAAAGGUUGUGUUCAGUAGGAUAAUGGAAGCAGUUGGCAGGCCGUCCCAUGCUCUUGCUCACCGUGCUAGAAAGGCCAGUCCCGCGGUACGGGAUCCACCGUAG